rnacentral:rRNA from 1 species
UACGUAGGGACCGAGCGUUGUCCGGAUUCAUUGGGCGUAAAGGGCGCGUAGGCGGUUCGUCAAGUCCUGUGUGAAAUCCCCCGGCUCAACUGGGGAACUGCACAGGAAACUAGCGGGCUUGAGUUCGGGAGAGGGAAGCGGAAUUCCGGGUGUAGCGGUGAAAUGCGUAGAUAUCCGGAGGAACACCGGUGGCGAAGGCGGCUUCCUGGACCGACACUGACGCUGAGGCGCGAAAGCUAGGGGAGCAAACGGG